GCAGUCAGGAUGAAGGAAAAUACUCCUGUACUGUAGAGACGAUCAGCUCAGCUGGAAAGACUCUGACUGUAUUAAGAGGAAGAACCGUAAACUGGGGUCCAGUAGCUGCCAAAAUCUCAGUAUCUCUCCUGGUUUGUUUACUUCUCUCUAUGUUUGUGUUUUUGAAGUUGAGGACCUUCAGUCAGUCUUCUAGAAGUGAAGCUGCCUUCAACAUGGAGGAGAUAAACUGACCUCCUUUAUGAAAAUGUUCAAGCUAAAGUCAGUCAGCAACAAACAACAUAAAUCAUCUUCCCUUCAGCAUCAUACAGUUUGAAGAACAAGAGGAUGUCUUCUGUACAUUAAGAAUAAUAUUUCCUAAUGCCUUUGAUCAAAACAACAAUAAACGUAAAAUAAAUUCUGUAAAUAAAUUUAAUGUUCUCUGCAAAUAAAUGCAAACCACCCAGCACCAUAAUUGUUGCUGAAUUAGAUCCAGAUUGUAUCAGCUUAUUGCACUUUAAGAAUCUGGAACAUGUUUUUCUAACGAUGAAGCAACAAAAACAGA